GUAUGUGUGUAUGAGUGAGCUCACUGCAAGACUAAAACCUAUGCUAUUUCACAAAUGGCAGGAACAAUACGGAUAUUUGCAAAUUAUAAAAAUGAGAACUUGACUGACACAGAAAUGGCUUAGGAAUCAUCCAAUCAUCUAAAUUCCUUUUCUCAAAGCUUGACUGACAAGUGAACAAACUAAGAUGGUGUCUUUUCUUUUCUCAGCUAACUCUAAUCCCCAAAUCCUUGUGAGGGUCACUCAGACUCAGUGACAGUCAUUCAGACUCAAACUCAGAGAUAUCAGUUUUUAGAUAUGUCUCGACACUAAUAAUAGUAUUAUUACAUGACUUAUCGUUUUUAUUUUAGAGUUAAAAGGAAAUUACGAAGGGAUUAAGAGAAAUGGACUUAAUAAAUUAAGGACUAGAAAAGGACAGAUCAAACAUUUGCUACAAUAACCAUGUCCACCAAUGCAAUGUCAGGUCACACAGCUUGCAAAUUUACCACAGACAGUGAAGAGCAAAGUGAAGAUGACCUUGCGCCUCAAUCAAAUCGUCUGGCCAACAUGAAUAACAGCAACAACAAUGAAGAG